rnacentral:rRNA from 1 species
GAUGAACGCUGGCGGCGUGCCUAAUACAUGCAAGUCGAGCGAACGGACGCGACUCUUGCUUCUCUGUUGUUAGCGGAGGACGGGUGAGUAACACGUGGAUAACCUACUUAUAAGACUGGGAUCAUUUCGGGAAUCCGGAGCUAAUACCGGAUGAUAUUUUGAACCGCAUGGUUCGAUAGUGAAAGACGGUCUUGCUGUCAGUUAUCGCUGCAUACGCGCUGCAUUAGCUAGUUGGUAAGGUAACGGCUUACCAAGGCUACGAUGCAUAGCCGACCUGAGAGGGGGAUCGGCCACACGGGAACGUAGACACGGUCCAGACUCCUACGGGAGGCAGCAGUAGGGAAUCUUCCGCAGUGGGCGGAAGCCUGACGGAGCAACGCCGCGUGAGUGAUGAAGGUCUUCGGAUCGUAAAACUCUGUUAUGAGGGAAGAACAUAUGUGUAAGUAACUGUGCACAUCUUGACGGUACCUAAUCAGAAAGCCACGGCUAACUACGUG